AAUGAGACAUUGAAAAAAAAAAAAAAAUUUGGUCUUUAAUAUCAAUGCUAAAUAAUUAAAUCUAGCAGCAAUUAUCAAGUAAUGCCGUUAAAUAUAUUAAUUAGUAUGAUUUAAAUAUAUGUUGCGGAGCAAAUAUCACGACAUUUAGCAAUAAGUACUGCUAAUUUAUUACAUUUAGUGUCAUUUUUUAUAAAAUAUUGUAAACUUCAACGGCAUUUACUAAUUUAUGUUGUUAAUUUAUCCUAUUUUUUAAUAUUAAUAAUAAAUUAAUGCUAAAUUAUUAAAUAUAGUGGCACUUAUCAAGUAAUGCUGUAAAAUAUAUUAAUUAGAAUUAUUUAAAUAAAUACUACGAAAUAAAUGCCGCUAAAUUAUGAAUUUGUUAUAAUAAUAACCUUACAAUUAAACUUUAGGAAAAGUGUUGGCCGAAGGGAGGAGCUAGUUUUAAAAAAGUGUAUACUUCCCAAAUUUGAAAUAUUUUUAAGAAUAACCUUACAAUCAAACUUUAGAGGCUUCGUUUAGUUCGGAUAUAAACAAUAACUAGUUGUUCCAAGGAUAGAAAUAAGAUGAGGUAUAAGAUGAGUAUAGAGUAAUUUUGUAUUUGAUUGAGUAUUGGGUUUAGUCCAGAUAUAAGCAAAAUAGAGUUUGAUUGGCGUAAGUGGAAUAAGAAGGAUAUUGGGUGGUUAUAAUAAAAACUAAUGAUACUGUCAUCUUUAUUAUAUUUGAAUUAAAAAUUUUAAAUUUUAUAUUUAAAAUUUCAAAUUUAAAUAUAUAACUCUUAAAUUUCAAAAAUACAAAAUUAACAUUUAAAUUUAGAAAUCUCAAAUUCGAAAAUUCAAAGUUAUAAAUUUUCAAUUUUAAAUUUUAAAUGUAAGAUCAAAGCUAAAUUUAGAAAUUUUAAAUUUUAAAUUUAAAAAAUUAAAUAUAUCAAAUUAAAAUUUAAAAUUUAAAAAUAUAAAUUUUAAUUUUAAGAUUACAAAUUAUAAAAUUUUAAAAUUUAU
rnacentral:lncRNA from 1 species